CCUACGGGAGGCAGCAGUAGGGAAUAUUGCUCAAUGGGGGAAACCCUGAAGCAGCAACGCCGCGUGGAGGAUGAAGGUUUUCGGAUUGUAAACUCCUUUUGUUAGAGAAGAUAAUGACGGUAUCUAACGAAUAAGCACCGGCUAACUCCGUGCCAGCAGCCUCGGUAAUACGGAGGGUGCAAGCGUUACUCGGAAUCACUGGUCGUAAAGUGCGCGUAGGCGGGAUAGCGAGUCAGAUGUGAAAUCCUAGGGCUUAACCAUAGAAUUGCAUUGGAAACUGGUAUUCUAGAGUAUGGGAGAGGGAGGUAGAAUUCUAGGUGUAGCGGUAAAAUCCGUAGAGAUCAAGAGGAAUACUCAUUGCGAAGGCGACCUGCUAGAACAUAACUGACGCUGAUGCGCGAAAGCGUGGGGAGCAAACAGGAUUAGAUACCCUUGUAGUC
rnacentral:rRNA from 1 species